UCUAAAGAGACUCAAACUUCCUCCUUCAGUUCAGCUCAACUCUCCAACAGUAACUCUGAUCAACAUGCUGUCUCUGCUCACAUCUGGAUUCACUCUGCUGGUUCUGAUCUCUGGAUCAGGUGUAAACUGUCAACAACUCACUGCAGGAAAGACUGAGGAGUUCAGUUCAGAGGGCAGCUCUGUUACUCUGACCUGCAGUUACUCCAACAAGAUAGCUCUUGGUGAUGAUUUCUUUUGGUAUCGACAAAAUCCUGGAAAACCUCCAGAGUUCAUCUUGUACAUCUCAGGACUCAACAACUCAAGAUCAGCAGAGUCUCUGAAAUCAUUAACGAGAUUCUCCACUUACCUGAGAGGAGAGAAACAGAUGGACCUGCUGAUCUCCUCUGCUGCAGUGACAGACUCUGCUGUGUACUACUGCGCUGUGAGGCCCACAGUGACAGGAAACACCAGAACCCUGUACAAGAACCUGCAGUACUCCACAGCAGCCACUAGAGGGCCUCACUCACUGCUCUGCUUCUAUGGUUUGUUAGGUUUCAGUCUGAUUGUUUAUGAGACAAUAAAAAACUGAACAGAGAGAGAAAACAAUCCCUCUGAUAAGUCGGUCUAGUUGGAUGACAUUUGCAUAACUAUUUCUAUGAAAUAUUUUCAUUAUUGAUCACUGGAUCAGCUCCAUAUUUUAUAAUCAGCAGUGUUUUAUUAAUUGCAAGAUGCUAUAAAGUUGCUGCUGGAUACCUGCAUGGCAUCUCCAUCUGGACCUCAGAGAACAGAAAGACUCUGGCUCUUUCCAAGCUCCCAGCUCUCAGUGCUUUGGUACCAAAACCCAACCUGGGGAUCGGUUGGACCACCAAGACUGGCACAUCGGACUCCUGCCAGUACCAGAUUUUGAAAGGUGCCAUGAACAGACAGCUUUCUUUUACACGCUACUUAAAACCUGGAAAGAAAUCUAACACCUAAAAAACUUUUCAAAAGUAAGGACUUUUUAAAAAGUCCUGUUUGUUAUCUGAUGGACAAACAUUAGAAUAAAGAAGGAACAUGUUUAUUAUCCCAGACCCCAGACAGGACUCCUACCUGGACUCUGGCAGCCUCACCUGACUGCAGCUUACCAACAUGCUGACAAUAUUUUAGUAGUUUAUCACGAGUUAAUUCCUGGGAGAAGUCAGAGUCUCUCUCCAGGGAAAAGGCCAAUAUUUAAACCAUGAGGCUGUUUGUGAACAAGCAGCAGAUCACUUUUUAAAUGAUGAUGAAGGUGAUAAGCUGAGCUGAAGAUGCUGCCUGGACCCCCAUGAAGAGAUGCAGAGACUGUAGCUCUUUGGGAAACUCUCCAUUAGCUUUGUUUCCUCCAGAUUGUGCACCGGUCUGUAAAAUGGGCUUGUGUUUAAUAAAAAUGUUAUUUUUAUUCAUCUUAGUCUUCCUGUAGGUGUUUUCACUUCCACAUCUCACAGAGGGAUGUUACAGACAAAUCCAUAUCCACUCUGUCAGA